CCUGCCCCGCCGGGCGGAGGACAGCUCAAGCUAAGGGUGAUCAGCCCAUGACCUAGACCUCUAGACAAAAUAAAGCAGGGAAAAUUUGCUAGAAUCAAGAAUGAUGGAUCCAUGCUCAGUUGGAGUCCAGCUUCAUACUACAAAUGAGUGCCAUAAAACAUGCUAUACUCAUCACACAGGUUUUAAGACUUUGCAAGAAUUGUCAUCAAAUGAUAUGCUUUUACUUCAACUUAGAACUGGAAUGACACUUUCUGGGAACAAUACUAUUUGCUUUCAUCAUGUAAAAAUUUACAUUGACAGAUUUGAGGAUUUACAGUAGUCAUGUUGUGACCCAUUUAACAAACAAACAAACAAAAACUAGUAAAAAAGAAUUUGCAUGUAAUUGACUUAGAUGAUGCCACUUUUCUGAGUGCAAAAUUCGGAAGACAGCUUGUACCUGGUUGGAAGCUUUGUCCAAAAUGCAAAUAGACAAUCAACGGAAGUGUAGAUGUUGAUACUGAAGACUGCCAGAGAAGGAAACCUGAGUCAGAUGGAAGAACUGCGAAAGCUUUGUGGUCGUUACAAUUUACAAAUCCAGGAAGGCAAACUGAAUUUGCUCCAGAAACUGGUAAAAGAGAAAGAAGGCUUACAAAAAAUGCAAGUGCUAGUUCAGACAGACAGGUGAUACCAUUGAAGAGUAAGGUCUAUGAUAGCCAGGGGCUCCUCAUUUUUAGUGGGAUGGACCUCUGUGACUGCCUUGAUGAAGAUUGCUUAGGAUGUUUCUAUGCUUGUUCUGCCUGUGGUUCUACCAAAUGUGGAGCUGAAUGCUGCUGUGACCGCAAGUGGCUGUAUGAGCAAAUUGAAAUUGAAGGAGGAGAAAUAAUUCAUAAUAAACAUGCUGGAUAAUCUGUGGUAUCAAACUAUGGGGUCUUUGAAGGCCUUUAUUUCUAAAAUUCUAUUACUCUUAGAUACAUUUUAAGCUUGAUUGUCAAAUG